GACGAACGCUGGCGGCGUGCUUAACACAUGCAAGUCGAACGGAAAGGCCCUGCUUUUGUGGGGUGCUCGAGUGGCGAACGGGUGAGUAACACGUGAGUAACCUGCCCUUGACUUUGGGAUAACUUCAGGAAACUGGGGCUAAUACCGGAUAGGAGCUCCUGCUGCAUGGUGGGGGUUGGAAAGUUUCGGCGGUUGGGGAUGGACUCGCGGCUUAUCAGCUUGUUGGUGGGGUAGUGGCUUACCAAGGCUUUGACGGGUAGCCGGCCUGAGAGGGUGACCGGCCACAUUGGGACUGAGAUACGGCCCAGACUCCUACGGGAGGCAGCAGUGGGGAAUAUUGCACAAUGGGCGGAAGCCUGAUGCAGCAACGCCGCGUGCGGGAUAACGGCCUUCGGGUUGUAAACCGCUUCCGCCUGUGACGAAGCGUGAGUGACGGUAAUGGGUAAAGAAGCACCGGCUAACUACGUG
rnacentral:rRNA from 1 species